UUUCCUUAUCUUACUCUUCUACGUUGACCGCAAUUGGGUUUAAUUGAAUCACCUUAUCAACUCUUACCUUUUGCUUUGGCUCCUCUAACACCUUCACAUUUCUUAGUGUAAUGGCCUUGACAUGCUCCUUGGGAUUAAUCUCUGAGUUACUUGGUAAUAACCCUUAAGUUCGACCCGCAAUAGCAUUGGCAAGCUGUCCAAUUUGUAUAUCUGGAUUCUUCAUGAAAGCAUCAUGAUUUUGUAACCUUACUUUGGUAGAGUUAAUGAACUUUGUCAUCAGCUCCUCCAAGUUAGAUUUCUUUUCUUGUGGUGGAAGAUGCUGUUGAGGUUGGAAUCUUAGUGGUGGUUGUCUCCUUUAAUUAUUAUUGUUGUUCCAUGAGAAAUUUGGGUGAUUUCUCAAACUAGGAUUGUAAGUAUUAACAAUGUUAGCUUGUUCAGGCACAUUAUUAGCAGCAAAUGUAUUAACUGCUUAACACUCUUGAUUUAAGUGCCCU
rnacentral:lncRNA from 1 species